ensembl:lncRNA
CAUAGAGCUUGUGGGAUCUUGUUUCCUGACCAGGAAUCAAACCCAGGCCCCUUGUAUGGAGGUUGCAAGUCCUCACCAGUGGGGAGCCAGGGAGGUCCCGAAGGGUCAUCGUUUGCUACUUUGUUGCGGCACACAAGUCGCAUGUCCUCCAUGUUGAGUGUAUUAGGUGUGCCCUCAGCAUAGCAGUGAGGAACAGCAGAAGAGGCAGGCUGGGGAUUGAGAGAGCUGAGUGAGGAGGUGACUCCGGACCUCGGGAAGGAGUGACCCUUCCCCCCUUGCCCCAGUGGAACCAGCGCUCCUUUGCGUGUUUCAUCUGCAGGCAGAGGAUUUCUUGGUGUGUCUUCCUGCGUGUUGCAGCCCGAGCAGCCUGUCCCGCCUCUGACCUCUGCUGUUUGGACUCCAGCCUUGUUCCCGGGUACCCGCUGCAUUCUCAGUGGCCAGGGUCAUGUCCCCAGCUUGGCACCUGAACCUGGACGUUGGGGCUGGAGUUAGCAGUGUGGCCGAGGUGGGGAGGGAAGGAUAAAUGUCAUCGGUGAUGGACAUGUGGUUUUUUUCGGUGCUCUCUAUCCGCAGGCAGGAAGGUCUGUCCUCCCUGGGCCUGCAUGAGGCAUCCACAUCUGUGGAAAGUCUCUUCCAACCAAACUGAGGGCAGUGACGCGCCAGGUCGCCAAGACAGAACGGGGACUUCAGGGUCCAUGCUCUCUGCAGGGCAGGGCUCUUUCUCAACUGCCUGAGGUUUAUUCACCCCGAGUUCACGGCACUGAUUGCUCUCAGGAUUCCACAGGGACCUCUGGACACGGGGUGGGGUCACGGACCGGGUAGCUGGAGGCCUGGGCUGGGUGCAUGGGAGCCCUGGAAAAAUUGGACGGUGUCCGGUUCCAAAAAGCAUCUCUCGGGCCGCAGCGUGAGACAGGCUCCCUUGAAGGCAGAGGCCAGACUUGGCCUGCCACCUGUUUUGGUACAGCCUGCAAUCUCAGAAUGGUUUUGUAUUUUUAAACGGCUGGAAAAAGCCUCAUAUUCCGUGACACAUGAGAAUGCUAUGAAAUUCCCAGUUUUGCUGGAACCCAGCCAUACCUGCUCGUUCAGAUAGCGUCUGUGGUUGGUUGCCUUCUCCCUCCAAAGGGCAUUACAACAGAGUUUCCCUCGGGCCCCUGGAAGCCUCCCGUGUUGAUUCUCUGGCUCUUUCAGAACCAGCCUGAAAGGGGAUCAGAAAUGGUGGGAUCCAUGCCUGUCCGACUCUUUGCGAGCCUGGUGGGCUGCAGUCCAUGGGGUCACAAAGAGUCAGACACGACUGAGCAC